UACGAAGGGGGGCUAGCGUUGCUCGGAAUCACUGGGCGUAAAGGGUGCGUAGGCAGGUCUUUAAGUCAGGGGUGAAAUCCUGGAGCUCAACUCCAGAACUGCCUUUGAUACUGAAGAUCUUGAGUUCGGGAGAGGUGAGUGGAACUGCGAGUGUAGAGGUGAAAUUCGUAGAUAUUCGCAAGAACACCAGUGGCGAAGGCGGCUCACUGGCCCGAUACUGACGCUGAGGCACGAAAGCGUGGGGAGCAAACAGG
rnacentral:rRNA from 1 species